rnacentral:rRNA from 1 species
UACAGAGAGGGCAAGCGUUGUCCGGAAUUACUGGGCGUAAAGCGUGCGCAGGCGGUAAUGUAAGACAGUUGUGAAAUCCCCGGGCUCAACCUGGGAACUGCAUCUGUGACUGCAUUGCUGGAGUACGGCAGAGGGGGAUGGAAUUCCGCGUGUAGCAGUGAAAUGCGUAGAUAUGCGGAGGAACACCGAUGGCGAAGGCAAUCCCCUGGGCCUGUACUGACGCUCAUGCACGAAAGCGUGGGGAGCAAACAGG